rnacentral:rRNA from 1 species
UACGGAGGGUGCAAGCGUUAUCCGGAUUCACUGGGUUUAAAGGGUGUGUAGGCGGGUCUUUAAGUCAGUGGUGAAAUCUCCGAGCUCAACUUGGAAACUGCCAUUGAUACUAUAGGUCUUGAAUUUUGUUGAGGUAGGCGGAAUAUGUCAUGUAGCGGUGAAAUGCAUAGAUAUGACAUAGAACACCGAUUGCGAAGGCAGCUUACUAAGCAAAUAUUGACGCUGAGGCACGAAAGCGUGGGGAUCAAACAGG